UGACUACGUUGUCCACGGCCGUCAGCCUCUCUUCCUGGUCCAUCUUGUUGCCUUAGCCGAAGCGUCCCUAGCGACAGAGGCGCCAGCGUCAGGAACGCGGUCUCGAAUUACCCGCUUCAAAUUCAAGCCUGACACCCGUCAGCUGAUUCAAACCUUGGUGAAACGUGGAGCCACGUGAGAGAUGCAAAUUGCAAUCCAAAAUUAAAUAUUAUGAGACUGCCAGGAUGUGUCGACAAAAUAUUCUAGAUCAGCACUCUUAAUCUCAUUCUAACGCAAUGUUAUGCGGGACAAAAAUACCGAGCACACAAUGAAAGACCUUGCCUUUGUCGAAGCUGCCUUUUUUAAAGGGUCCUCCUCCAUCAAGAUUUCAUCACUUUCAAGAAGCAGUAAAGCAUCUAGAAAAUCUCAGUGUUCUCAUUUCCUCAACUCAAGAUCUGUGGAAAAUUAAUCCUAACAGCCCUCCCGGAGACAAGAUCACAAGCUUUCUGAAUGAGUACCUCACUAUUGAAUGUAUGGCUUAUCACUGCAAUAUUUAAGCACAUCAUAAGAUCAUUUCCUCAAAUAUUACACAGCAAGACGACUUAAUUUGAACACAAUCAGAUUAAAGAUGGUUGCCAGAGGUGAAAACUAAGGAUGAAUAUCAGAAGAUACAAGACAGAAGUGUGCCUGGCACAGUAAAUAAGAACACGUUGUGACUUACGCAUAAUGCUUCAAUCUUUUUGCUUUAUCUGUAAAAUCAGCUUUUCUAACUCUGAUUUUCUGGGAGGAUAAAAGAGCCAUUUCUGAUAUAACCCAGCAUAUGCGAUUUCUAAAACUCACUGCAAUAUGCAGAAUUGUGCAGUAAAGACCCCGGGACCCAUGAGAAAAUGGGGCUGGGAACACAGCACUCAAAACUUUACGAGAAACACGUAAAUGAGGAUAGAAACCUAAUAAAAAAUGACAGUACAGUUCAUGCAUGUUACAUAGUUAAAAAAUAAUAAAUACUAUAAUAAAUGUGGCAUUUUACUUUCA